AUCAGGGGGUUGACUUGUGAUUUUUUUUUUAACUGCCCCAGGUGAUUCUUAUUGACAGGAGAGGGUGGGGGAAUCCUAGAGCUAUAAAUAGUACAGGUGCUGCUUCAGUACACUGCAGGUGACUAAUGAGAGGAAUUUUGUGAGUAAAGGAGCUUAGUAGCAACAGGAAAGUAUAAGAGCUGUAAAGCAGAAGUGGAACUGUGGGUUUAAGCUUGGUAUAUCACUUCCUUGCCAGACAUAACUGUUCGUUUCUAACGUGGCUGUAGUUGGCAUUCUCUCUCAUACCAAGAUACCUUUUGAGAUGAAGAAACUGAGGCACAGAGGGAUUAAGUAGCCUGCUCAAGAUCACACAGCUAGUAAGGAACCAAGAUUCAAACUUGGGCAGUGUGAUUCAGAGACUUUAAAUUCAACGCUGGUGCCUCACUGCCUCACACUAAAAGUGAAUCAGAAAAAUAAAGAACCAGCAUCAAAUUUGAAGUGGCCACAAAUUCUAUUAAAGCAGAAGAAAUAGUGGUGAACCAUAAAAGAGAACCAGUUUCCUCUCUAUUCUGCAAUUUA
rnacentral:lncRNA from 10 species